rfam:Otolemur garnettii contig154547, whole genome shotgun sequence.
GUACUCACUUUUUAGAAGCACAUAUACUAAAAUGGGAACAAUAUAGAGAAGAUUUGUAUGGUCCUUGCACAGAGAUAACAUGAAAAUAUUUUUUCUUUUUUU